AUGGUGGAACCGGUGCUUGAGGAGGCGGAAGGAGGAACGAAGGGAGUUCGGGCGGGGUUAGGGCAUCUAGAGGCCAAGACAGCUGGAGGAGGAGGUCGAGGGGGAGGUUCUUCAUCCAGUAAUCCGAUCUUGGACAAAUCUGAAGAGGAAGCGAGGGAGGAGGAUGAGGCGGAUCUCCGCCAGGAGGAGGAAGAAGAUUGGGAUCACCUUGGCCACGAGCCGGCCCUAGAGGAUGUCUUUGAAGGAUUAAAACUUCAUGGAGAGGAGGAGGAAGACCUGGAUCUGUCAGGGGAAGUGGAAGAAUUGAUCAAGGAGGUUCGAUGGUUAUGCCUGUUUAGGGUUCAUACGAUGAGGCCGUUUAGCCAUGCGGCGCUACUAAACUCAUUGAGGAACGCGUGGUCAUGCGCCCAAGGAGUAACUUUCAAUAUCAAAGGACCAAAUCUCUUCCUAGCUCAGUGCCAUUGCUUGGGGGAUUGGAAGCGGGUGAUGGAAGGGGGGCCUUGGCAAUUCCGUAGAGAUCCAGUCGUCAUUGUGGAGUACGAUGGCUUUACUAAUGUUGCUGAGUAUGCUUUGGAUAUGUAUCCCUUAUGGGCUAGAAUCAAAGGCCUGCCGGAUGGCCUCACGAGAAAGAAGGAGCUGGCUGAGAAGGUGGCUAAGAAGGUGGGCAUGCCACCCUUUACUGUUGUUGUCAAUGAGGGCAGGAUUAACCCAUCGAGCUUUUUAUGGGUUGGGGUUUUUGUUAAUGUUCAUAAACCCUUGGUGAGAUUUGUACCUAUCACACUGAAAGAUUACAAGAGGUAUCCUGUUAGGUAUGAGAAAUUGCCGGACUUCUGCUAUUUUUUGUGGAUGCAUGGGUCAUGUGGUUGA
rnacentral:rRNA from 1 species